GAAUUGAUCAGUUGCGAUUACAUCGUAUAACUUGUAUAAUCGAUUUUGCUCCCCAAGAAAAACGAAAAUAUUGACAAGAUGAAAAAAUUCCUUAUUUUCACUAUUUUUGUUAUGAUUGCUAUGGCGAUGAUUGCUACGGUUGCUUCUGAAGAAAAAUGUAAAGCUGUCGGUGGCCCAUGUUAUACAACUGAUGAGUGCUGUCCUGGUUUGAAAUGUUUGUUUUAUGCGCACAAAUGUGUGACAUAAUGAUAGGAUUCGAUCUGGAUAAGAGCUUUUUUGAUCCUGGAUGCCAUAUCAACCAAAUAUGUUAGAAUAAUAGUACUAUAAUGAUAAUAUUGCUUAUCACUUCCUUAUAUCUGACUUUGCCUCUAUUUUUCUUUUAUAUUUAUAUAAAAGGAAAGAGUUUCCGUUAUGACUGGCUUUAAAUAAAGACUUUCAAGAGCUAUCAUUA